CAAGUGCCCUAGUGGCCGGGUGACGCGCUCCACAAGAUCGCGGCAGCCAUUGGAGGUGGUGUAUCAGUUGCUAAGGCACAACUUGGAAGGCUGUAGUCGGGCCGUGAACGUCGUCUCCAUCCACCAAUCGAGUUAUCCACGCCUCUCUCAUCGAAAGAUCGGGAAUCAACCCUAGCGGGUUCAUAUCAGUUGGUAAUCAGAGCAAGGUUUAUCGGUGAGAGACUUCUAGUUCGUUGCUGUUUUUAAUUUCCUAUAGUCCAGAAAAAGCCAAAAAAUUAGUAGAUUAGUUUACUCGCAAUCCUAUAAACCCUUUGAGCCUUUGCUAGCACUGCUUAGUUAGGGCUUGUUGAGUUUUUGGUUGCAUCGGUUGUGUCAAGUUGCUGGUCUUAGUUUUAGUCCUUUAGAGUUUCGAGUUCUUUUCACGUUCUAGUCACAGCCGUGUGCUACCAUAUAAAACCUUUUGUUGGCUGAAUCUGAAUACAUAUUUGUGCUCAAGUCCGAGUAGGACUCCGAGUUUGUUUAAGACCGAAUCCCGCGUGGUGCUGAGUUCGAGUUGGAAUCGGUUUGGAGUCUGAAUUGACAGCUGCCUUGUUGCUAUCUUGAGUCCAAAUCUGAUUUCUAUCAUUUUGGCAAAAGUUUGUGUGGUGUGUGACUCUUGUGAAGUCCUUUUGUUCAUAUAAUCAGAUUUGAGGAUCCCCUGAAAAAAAAAGAAGAAAAAAAAACAGAAGAAAAAAAAGAAGAAAAGAAAGACAAAAAAAAUAGGAAGAAAAGGGGCUGUUCGUUGUGCUUCCCUAUUGUUUUCCGGUGGUGUGUUGUGACUUCCUUUGUGUCCAGGCUCGCGUCUCUAGCACGGUCUAGGCUAGGACCAGCACAGUACCACCGUUGAACUAUUAUUCAGCUUGCUUUUGUGACUAACGUGGUGCUAGUAUAUUUCCUUGCUUAAGCCCACCUACAGCUCCACAUAUUCGACUACAGCUUGACAGGUUUUUUUGUUGCUGCGGCACCGAUACACUUCACUCCACGGUUGUAGACUUGUUGGUUGCCGUCACCUCCUGUUUGGCUUGGUAAGAACUUGUAAGGGCUUGUUUUUACAAGUUGAGUUUGAGAGAAUUACAACCGACACAUCCUAGUAGUUGACAGGAGGAUACAUAUUAUUUUUGUGUUUCUUGUUUUCUACUAAUCAUGGUAGGUGAUACGGAGAUUUUUGAGCUGUUGAAACUAGACUCUCAUAUUCAAGAUGUCAUUCAACAAUUGCCGUUAUAUGAUGGUAAGUUUGAUCCUAAAGCUUACAUUGAUUGGGAACUAAAAGUAGAUAAUGAAUUUGAUGAGCAUGACUUGUCCGAGAAACAAAAGAUUUAUAUUGCCUCUAAUAUUUUGACUGGAUUUGCUUUGCUAGAAUGGAAACACAUUUGUAGGCACAACAAAGUUCUAGAAUCUUGGGAAGACUUUAAAUUUCUUUUUAGAGAUGCAUUCAUUCCUGAAUAUUAUGCUGAUUAUUUGCUUGCUAAAUUAGACAACUUGAGGCAAGGUAGUAGGACUGUAAAAGAAUACUUCCAUGAUUUUAAAAUUUGUAUCAUGUAUGGUGGAUUAGAUGAGUGCAUGGAAGAUGUUAUGUGUAGGUUCAUGAGAGGGCUCAAUUCUGAAAUUCAAACCUUGUUGCUAAGCAAAUCAUACAUACAUAUUGGUCAAUUGUUUUGCCUUGCUCUCAAUGUUGAAAAGGAGAUUCUAUUAUCUGUGAAUACUUGCAAGAAUGAUGUGACCCAUUAUAUCCAAAAUUUGUCCACUCUCCAUGCUAAUGAAGAGCAACAAAUAGUGGAACCCAUUGCUGAUUUUCCUUUGUCACAAAAUGAAUUACUUGCUGUUCCUUGUGAUAAAGAGGACUUGUGUGCUGAUGAUUCUUUUACUCCUAUACCACAAGUAGUGAAUAAGUGUGAUACUUUGGGUUUGGAAUCAUACAAAUGUGCUGAAGAUAAGCUUUUUCAUCCUAUUACUUGUGCACAAGAUGAACUGAAUUUGCUAUCCUCUUUAAAUACUUUGGGUUACAUUGAAUUUGAUGUUUUGUGUAAUCUAAAUUGUCUAAAAGAGAAACUUCAAUUUGGUUCUGGUUUGCCAAGUUUUAAUCAUUGUUCGCUUCAUGCAAUUGGCAAAUAUAAUAGCAAAGGAGAGUAUUUGGUGCAUAAAGUUUAUGUUUGCUCCACUCUGAAAUAUCCUUUUAGGCUACAAUACCAUGAUCAAAUAGAGGGCUGCACUAACACUAAUAAUGUCUUGCAAAGUUUUUCUAGUUUUUCCCAUAUGCAACAGGGUAAGACCAAAGAAGGGGAGCAUUACUGGUUGUGGCCAUGCAGCAUGGCCGUCGCUCCGUGCUCCAACAUCAAAACAAGCACCUUAGAAUGCCAUUGGAGCAAGUCGAGGAUGACUUGCAGCCAAGAAGGGGAGAAUGAUGAGGACAUCACAUGCUCGGAUACAACCAUAUUGGCAUCUUUUGACUCCG
rnacentral:lncRNA from 1 species